rnacentral:lncRNA from 1 species
AGAUCUGAGAGGAGCUCCAUCAUGGCUGCCACAGAGACUCGGAGAAGUGAGAAGAGCUAGGCAGCUUCCUCUUUAUCCAAAGGAUGCCCUUCUACUAGAAUUGGUCCGAUGUUUUCCUCAUGGUGAGACUGGAGUUAUGGGUUUUGAAGAGGAAGAUUACAGAGAAUUUCCACUGAUGCCAUUGCUUGAAGGGAGGCUUGGAGGCCGAGAAGAAGGAAGUGAUUCCAGAAAGGUAUCACCAUUCCUCAGUUACGAAACCCAAGUGAGACCACAAUAUCCUGACUUCCAGUCUAGAGCUAUCUGUAAUGCAAUAAAUCUCUUCACAGGAGCAUAUACACUGGGAACGGGAACUCUCACAGGAGAUUCUCUCCCUUGUUGAUUGGAAAAAGCCAGCUGCCAUGUUGUGAGUAUCCCAUUUAAAAGGGCUAUAUGGCAAGGAACCGAGGGCAGCCUUCAGCUGACAGCCAGCAAGAAACCAAGAUCCUCAGUCUGGUAGCUUGCAAGGCACUGAAUUCUGCCAACAACUGCGUGAGCUUGGAAGUGGAUCCUUCCUCAGUUAAGCCUUGGACAAGACCCAAGCCCUGUUGGACGCUUUAAUUACAGCCUUGCAGAGAACCCAGCUAAGGCAUGUUCAGACCUGAUCCACAGAAACUGUGAGAUAAUCCAUGUGUGUUGUUUUAAGCCUCUAAGUGUGUGGUAAUUUGUUACACAGCACUGGUUAGCUAACACAGAUACCUAGACAGCUGGUAAAGCAUUAUUUCUGGAUGUGUCUGUGAGGGUGUUUCUGGAGGAGAUUGGCAUGUGAGUCAGUGAACUCUGUGGGCAAGAGCUGCCCUCAAUGUAGGUGGGCACCAUCCAAUGUUGUUUUGUUGUAUCUAGGGGCCCAGAUAAAACAAAAAGGCAGAGGAAAGGUGAAUUCACUCUCUCUCUCCUGAAGCUGGGGUACUUUUAUCUCUUGCCCUUGGACAUCAGAACUCCAGGUUCUCUGGCCUUUGGACUCUGGGACUUGCACCAGCUCCCGGCUUCUCAGGACUUCAGCCUCAGAUUGAGAGUCACUCCAUUAACUUUCCUGGUUUAAAAGCCUUUAUACUUGGACUGAGAAACACCAACAGCUUCCCUGGGCUUCCAACUUGCAGAUGACCUAUCACAGGACUUCUCAGCCUCCAUAAUCGCAUGAGCCAAUUCUCCUAAUAAGUCCCCUUUCACAUAUCUAUUUAUCUACAUACGUAUAUCCUACUGGUUCUGUCUUUCUCAGGAACCCUGACCAAUAUAGUAUGUAUCUCUAAAAGAUAAGGACAUCAAAAAAUAUUACCGCGUCUAAAAAUAAAGUGAUUUCUUAACGUCAUGAAAUAUCCAAUUGCUCUCCAAAUUUUCACAAUUACAAAAGUCCACAUGUUGCAUUUAAUUUUAAUGCCUCUUAAUUCUCCCUUAAUUUUGAGAUUGCCUUUUAAGUAAGGCAGUUUAGCUCCCUAGUUUCACUCUAGCCCAUCCAAGGUGUUUCCAAAAACCUCACCUUCACACUAACCACAUCCAUUAUAAGCUGCUUCUUAAACGAUGAGAGCUCUCACUCUCUAAAAGGAAUUCUAAGCAUACCUCUUAAAGUAAUAACAUAUUAUAUCUCUACUAAGUUUAUAAUCAUAAAGAAUGUGGGUAUUUGCAUUCUCAUUUUACAGAUGGGAAAAUUAGUGUAGGUAACACAUAUAGAGAGGUGAUAAAUAGCAAUGGUUUCCAAGAAUGAUGACGAUUUCAGUGUGAAACAGAGAGUAGCAAUGGCAAGAGAUACAGCUAAGUAAAUGUGGAUGGUGAGGGACCCAUUCUGCCUUGUUAAAAGGUUUGAACCCACCCUAUAGACAAUAAAUCACUCAGUGAAUCACUGAGCAAUUUUAAUUAUGGAAGCAAUGUGAUCAGAUUUAUAUUUAAGGCAAGAGGAUUGGUGGCAAUGUAGAAGGCAAACACAAGUCAGAAAGAGUUAGAAGUAAGAAAAGUGAGUAGUCUGAAGAAAUUGGACACAUAAGAGAUGAGGGGGCUGGAAUGACUAACUAUGCAUCUUAUUCUGAAAUAUGUCUCUUAGGUAAUUGAUUAUUGAUACCCCACAUCCAAAUAGUGGGACAGUUAACUGAGAUGUCAGAGCCAGCCUUUUCAACACUUCUAGAGAGAAAUUUUGCAAAGACACAUCUCUUGUACCUCCAUGGACUUUUAAUACAGAUAUGUUUAUCAUAAGAUAACCUUCUAAAGAGCUCAUGAUAGCAUAUGAUCAAACUCCUUAUUGUACAGUCAGGAGGAAUCAGCCUUGUUGAAGGAAGGGGCUUACCCAAAGUUACAAGUUGGGACAAAAUUUUUGCUUCCAAUUCACUGCUGUUCUUACUAGAACUGUUUUCUCCAGUCUCAUAGAAGUUCUGAGAAACAAUUAGGCCCACACUAUCAUCAACAGGCAAAUAUGUGUGCCUGACCAGACAGACAGAGAGGUAUUUUGAGAGAGGCCAGGAAUGAAACUGGUGAAGAGGCCCAGAGUUUCAAUCCUGUUCUCACUCAAGAUUCAUCAUCAUCAUCAUCUUUACUAUAAGGAAGAGGGCAUUUAAAAGCACAAAUGAGAUUGUUAGUGAUAAAAAGGUACUUAUACACCAGCCAAUUCCAUCCUCCAUUUUGCUGAGGCUCAAAGAGGUACAGUGACUUAUCUUCGGUUAUGUAUGCAACUAUUGCAGAGCUGGAUAUUGGACUUAGGCCUCCUGAAGCCCAGCACUGUGCCUGCAGGAGCAUUCCCAACUCCUGUCUUUCUGCUCAAUACAUGGGGAAGAGACGAACAAUUUAGGCUACUCAAAAUGUGGUGGGCAUUUGGGCUCUGGGGAGAGCUUCAGCAUCUCUUCUCUCUUUUCAUGUUCUCCAACUCCUCAAGCAACAUACACACAUAGCAUAAAGAUCACUAGCCAGCUAUUUUCUGUCUUGAAAAAUUUUUAUGAUAAGAGUUUUCUAAUUAGGGAAAGCCACAGUUCAUACACAAAACACAAAUUACUAGGCUCUUUGUCUUUUUCAGAAGAAGUAUUAAUCCAUAAAUAAAUAUACUCUGUUGCCAAGUCACUACCAUGCUGUAUCACAUGGCCAAAGGAUGCCAAAAGGUAUGAGCUCUUGGUGAAUCCCAGCUAUUGACAGCCAGGUGCUGGACCUUAACCAGAGGCAUUGCUAUAGGUGGUUAAGUAUAUGGGCUCUGGUCAGUGGUGACAAAGUUCCUGGGUUCAAAUCCCAACACCCCCAGUUACUAGUUAUGUGACCUUGGACAAGUUGAUUAAAAUCUCUGUACUUCAACUCCUUUAUUUGUAAUAUGGAAAUGAUUUUUUAAAUUACCUAUCUUCUGGGUCUAUUGCAAAAUUAUCUUAUUUAAUAAUAAGAUAAUCCACUUAAGGCACUAUAUGUGAGUUUUUGCAUGUAGUGAGCACUUGAACCAAUAGAGUAUAUUUCCUUUUGAAUGUAAGAAAUUCACAGAGACAGCUUCUCUAUAGUAAAGGUAAGAAUCAAAACUGAGUUUCUAUAAAUUACUUUGUAUUGCUUAGAGAAAGAAGUCAUGGCAAUAGAUUGAAUAUAUUUUAAUUUAAAGUAGAAAAUUAUAUAGGAAAAAUAGAUAUAUCUUCCAGAGCUCAGUCUCAAAGGCCACAUUUUCUUUUGAGUAUUUUAACCUCCAAAACAUACUUAGUAUGUGGUGAAAUUGCCUACUUCUGGGUUGAGUAAUGUGAGCUAUCAUUACCAUGGUAACAACAAGGCCAAUAACUUGAACUCCAGUCAUAGUAGCUACAAUAAAGGGGACUCAGUUUGGAAAUAAUUAGAAUCCAUCCUUUUUGAGACUGAAAUUCAUUGCCUUUAAGACUCAAUCAACAUUCCUGGUGGUAGUCUGGAAUCAGCUCAAAUCAAGAUACAUCUAUCUUUAAAAAGAAUAUAGGACAAGAAAUCCAAAAUAGGAAAAAAAUCAAAUCAUCUUAUCUUUCUGGUGCAUUUACUAGUCUGAUGAGUCAUAAGAAAAUAAUAACCCAGAGGUUAGAAACAAAGACAUAAGCACAAUUCCUUUCAUUCCAUGGGUAAAAUUGAA